GCCUGGAUGGCUCAGUUGGUUAAGCAUCUGACUUAGGCUCAGGUCAUGAUCUCAGGGUCCUGGGAUCAAGCCCCACCUCAGGCU
rnacentral:tRNA from 1 species